GAUGAACGCUGGCGGCGUGCUUAACACAUGCAAGUCGAACGGAAAGGCCCAAGCUUGCUUGGGUACUCGAGUGGCGAACGGGUGAGUAACACGUGGGUGAUCUGCCCUGCACUUCGGGAUAAGCCUGGGAAACUGGGUCUAAUACCGGAUAGGACGAUGGUUUGGAUGCCAUUGUGGAAAGUUUUUUCGGUGUGGGAUGAGCUCGCGGCCUAUCAGCUUGUUGGUGGGGUAAUGGCCUACCAAGGCGUCGACGGGUAGCCGGCCUGAGAGGGUGUACGGCCACAUUGGGACUGAGAUACGGCCCAGACUCCUACGGGAGGCAGCAGUGGGGAAUAUUGCGCAAUGGGCGCAAGCCUGAGGCAGCGACGCCGCGUGGGGGAUGACGGCCUUCGGGUUGUAAACUCCUUUCGCUAGGGACGAAGCGUUUUUGUGACGGUACCUGGAGAAGAAGCACCGGCUAACUACGUG
rnacentral:rRNA from 1 species